GACGAACGCUGGCGACGUGCUUAACACAUGCAAGUCGAACGGAAAGGCCCUGCUUUUGUGGGGUGCUCGAGUGGCGAACGGGUGAGUAACACGUGAGUAACCUGCCCUUGACUUUGGGAUAACUUCAGGAAACUGGGGCUAAUACCGGAUAGGAGCUCCUGCUGCAUGGUGGGGGUGGGAAAUUUUCGGCGGUUGGGGAUGGACUCGCGGCUUAUCAGCUUGUUGGUGGGGUAGUGGCUUACCAAGGCUUUGACGGGUAGCCGGCCUGAGAGGGUGACCGGCCACAUUGGGACUGAGAUACGGCCCAGACUCCUACGGGAGGCAGCAGUGGGGAAUAUUGCACAAUGGGCGGAAGCCUGAUGCAGCAACGCCGCGUGCGGGAUGACGGCCUUCGGGUUGUAAACCGCUUUCGCCUGUGACGAAGCGUGAGUGACGGUAAUGGGUAAAGAAGCACCGGCUAACUACGUG
rnacentral:rRNA from 1 species